rnacentral:rRNA from 1 species
UACGGGGGGGGCAAGCGUUGUUCGGAAUUACUGGGCGUAAAGGGCUCGUAGGCGGCCAACUAAGUCAGACGUGAAAUCCCUCGGCUUAACCGGGGAACUGCGUCUGAUACUGGAUGGCUUGAGAUUGGGAGAGGGAUGCGGAAUUCCAGGUGUAGCGGUGGAAUGCGCAGAUAUCAGGAGGAACACCAAUAGCGAAGGCAGCUCGCUGGGACGGUAUUGACGCUAAGGCGCGAAAGCGUGGGGAGCAAACAGG